AGAGUUUGAUCCUGGCUCAGAACGUACGCUGGCGGCACGCCUAACACAUGCAAGUCGAACGAAGUAGCAAUACUUAGUGGCAAACGGGUGAGUAAUAUGUGGGAAUCUACCCUUCGGUCUGGAAUAACAUGAGGAAACUUAUGCUAAUACUGGAUAAGCCUUUACAGGGAAAGCUUUAUGCUCCGAUUGAUGAGUCCACACUUGAUUAGUUAGUUGGUGAGGUAAUAGCUCACCAAGACAAUGAUCAAUAGCUGAUUUGAGAGGAUGAUCAGCCACAUUGGGACUGAGACACGGCCCAAACUCCUACGGGAGGCAGCAGUGGGGAAUUUUGCACAAUGGGGGAAACCCUGAUGCAGCGAUGCCGCGUGAGUGAAGAAGGCCCUUGGGUUGUAAAACUCUUUCGUCGGGGAAGAAAAUGACUGUACCCGAAUAAGAAGGUCCGGCUAACUUCGUGCCAGCAGCCGCGGUAAUACGAAGGGACCUAGCGUAGUUCGGAAUUACUGGGCUUAAAGAGCUCGUAGGUGGUUAGAAAAGUUGAUGGUGAAAUCCCAAGGCUUAACCUUGGAACUGCCAUCAAAACUUUUUAGCUAGAGUGUGAUAGAGGAAAGUGGAAUUUCUAGUGUAGAGGUGAAAUUCGUAGAUAUUAGAAAGAACACCAAUUGCGAAGGCAGCUUUCUGGAUCAUUACUGACACUGAGGAGCGAAAGCAUGGGUAGCGAAGAGGAUUAGAUACCCUCGUAGUCCAUGCCAUAAACGAUGUGUGCUAGACGUUGGAAAUUUAUUUUUCAGUGUCGCAGCGAAAGCGUUAAGCACACCGCCUGGGGAGUACGACCGCAAGGUUAAAACUCAAAUGAAUUGACGGGGACCCGCACAAGCAGUGGAGCAUGUGGUUUAAUUCGAAGAUACGCGCAGAACCUUACCAACACUUGACAUGUUCGUCGCGACUUUAAGAGAUUAAAGUCUUCGGUUCGGCCGGACGAAACACAGGUGCUGCAUGGCUGUCGUCAGCUCGUGUCGUGAGAUGUUGGGUUAAGUCCCGCAACGAGCGCAACCCUUACUUUUAGUUGCCACCAUUUAGUUGAGCACUCUGAAAGAACUGCCAGUGAUAAACUGGAGGAAGGUGGGGAUGACGUCAAGUCCUCAUGGCCCUUAUGUGUUGGGCUACACACGUGCUACAAUGGCACUUACAAUAGGAAGCAAAGAGGCGACUCUAAGCAAAUCCUUAAAAAGUGCCUCAGUUCGGAUUGUACUCUGCAACUCGAGUACAUGAAGCUGGAAUUGCUAGUAAUCGCGGAUCAGCGCGCCGCGGUGAAUACGUUCCCGGGUCUUGUACACACCGCCCGUCACACCAUGGAAGUUGGUUCUACCUUAAGGCAAAGCAUAAAACCUUUGACCACGGUAUAGUCAGCGACUGGGGUGAAGUCGUAACAAGGUAACC
rnacentral:rRNA from 1 species